CAACUCUCAGCCACAAUAGUCUCUUCAUUUUCAAGUGCUCUACAAGUAUCUGACCCUGUUGUGGACCCUUCACCUCCUACUUCACCCUAAUACAGAAAUGGACAGGAAUAUCUGGAUCAACUUUUGUCUGUUUUGUGUAUUUCAGCCAUUGAUGGCUUUCAACAUUGAUCCUGUGAUCUGGAAGAACUUCACAAACAAUGGAAAAAGUGGCUUUGGUUAUAAAGUGAUACAGAGAGAUGCAUCAAGGUUGAUGUCUCCGCUGAGCCAGGACACGUCCAAGACCGGUGUCCAGUAAUGGAGGUGGGGACAUGGAUUCGGGUCUCCAACAUGCCACAGACCACCCCCGAUCAAGCUGAGAUGCAUCGCAUACCGGUAAGAAUUAAGGGGUAUACAUACCAAGCCCUGGAGGAUUCUGGCUGUAAUCAAACCUUGAUUCACCACGACUUGGUUCAUGACGGGGCUUUGGGUGCAAAACACAAGGUGGUGGUGAUGUAUGUGCAUGGAGAUGUUCACAAGUAUCUGGUAGUGACAGCUGUUGUUCAAUUCCAGGGGAAAAAGCAUAGAGUGGAGGCCGCGGUUAAUUCCCGCCUAAUCAGAAAGACACAGGAGGGGAAUCCUUCAGCAUUCCUGCCCUUAGGGAGUUCCUGGAGGGGUAAAAAUUGCUGGAACCCCUAUUAUUUAGAGUCAGGGAGGUCCCGCAAGCCUCCACAGGGUUUUUCCCCUUCGAGCUCUUGUAUGGACGCCGGCCACGUGGGGUGCUUGAUGUCAUACGAGAGGCAUGGGAGGAAGGACCUUCCCAAAGCAAAAAUGAAAUUCAGUAUGUCCGAACCACACGUUGGUCGGUUGUCACAGGAAAAUAUGCUCCAAGCUCAAGAGAGACAAAGCCGGCUCUAUAAUGAGGUGUCCCGCUAUGGGAAUUUGCACUGAGAGACAAAGUCCUUGUAUUACUGCCCAUUUUGAGUUUGAAAUUACUCGCCAAGUGGCAAGGACCCUUUGAGGUUACACAACGAGUCGUGGAUCUCAAUUAUGAGGUUAAACGAAUGGAAAGAGGCAGAGCAUGUCAAAUUUACCACCUCAACUUCCUUAAAUUAUGGAGAGAGACGAUCCCUGUGUCCAUGGCAAUGGUAGUUCUGGAGAGGGUGGAGCUC